UCCAGAAAGACGAGGUUCUGCUUGGUGGGCAACUUUGAAACAGGCAACUGAAGAAAUCUGGGUUCUGCCACCUGGGAGUGUGGGCACAUGAUGUGGGAUCAGGAUGUAGGAACUGAGUUCAAAAAACGGAAAAGCAUGUGGAAAAUUGAACAUCGAGUAAUCGGUCUCUAGCAGCGUGUCCAGAAGGAGGCAGGGUGGUCUUUCUGACUGUCUUCCACGCCCCCCAGAGAAUGGUCAGUGCAGGCUCCGUGAAGAAUGCCCCUCUGGGGCGUGGGCAAGAGGGGGUCUCACCAUGCUGCCUUGGAAACUGGCGCCACACCCUCUCCAGGUGCUCAAGAUGGCGCCACCCAGUUGGGUCUUUCCUGAGCAGCUCAAAUGCUACUAUUGCCUCAUGGAAGCUCCAGGAGACCCCACCCUCCACAAAUCACACAGCCCCGCCCCCGUGCUCCCACAGCCCCGGGGGAUGAAGGCCCAGCAACGAGGUGCCCAGACGUGGUGUUGAGGGCUGCCCCUACGGCCGGCAUGGCCUUUCCUGGAAGAUCUGAGGGACAGCCCCUCUGUGCAGUGUUUUGAAAAGGGAAUUUAAGACCCAGAAAAAUGGUGAUUUCUUCAUGGCCUGAUAAAAAGAACAAGAUUUGGUUCCCAUCCCAGCUCUGCCACCUCCUAGCCAUGUGACUUUGAGCAAGUCCACACAAGAGGCGGGGUCAGCUCGGGGAAGCAGGAGCCUUUGCCCCCAACAGUCUGACCUCCAUCCACCCCUCCAUGUGUCUCACACCUGGUCCUGGGCCCGCAGGCAGCGGCCUGUUUAUCAACAGGAAAGGAGGAUGGCGAGCACGUCAUGGAGCCUCGGGACCACAAGGGCCAAGGGCAUUCUGAUGUUUUCGGCCUCAUGGAAGCUGUCCAGAGCCGGUCUCCAGCACUCCAGGGCUGUAGCCACCAGGCCUGCUGGGAAGGGAAUGGACAGCUUUUCACUUUUUCUUAGCGGGGCCCUGGCUUCGGGGCCAGGAGGGGCUCCCAACUGCCUGCGGAACGGAGGCCCAGUUCCAAUCUGGCCUCUUGACAGUAAGCUCUCUCCUCGGGAAGCCCUGGCAUCCUGGGCCAUGCCUGAGGCCUUCCAGGGUGCCCCGAGUGUGGACUAGUCUUCCUCUGACCUCUCCAAACCAACUGCUCCCCUUGCUGUCAAAAUGGGGCAAACCCCACACCCUCCCAGCAGCCUUCCUGCCCCCAUCUCCUACCACAGGCUGGAAGGUCCCCGCUCUCUGGGCUCCCACACUUCUGACUCUGAACCAGGGCUACUCACGUCUGACUUGUGCGAUUUUCCUUGGGGCGGGCCCUGGGUUUGACUCCAACUGUGGGAUUACAGCGUCUGCUCAGCAUCACAGUGCAAUAAAUAUUUGCUCAAGGGCGGCAACGAAUGCAUUCAAGGCUCAUUAAUUAAGUUAAACAAGGAAUGUUUUAGAUGGUAAGUCACAGGUAUUGGCCAAGCUUUUCUGGACAUGUCAUCAUGAGGAAUUGAACCCGUGACACAGGGAGGGAGGCAGGACGUGAGUCCCAGGGCGUGGGGGUGAGGCGGGGGUGCAGACAGCAUCAUCAGCCCCCAGCCCCUGUCUGGAUUAAGC
ensembl:lncRNA